AACCUGGUUGAUCCUGCCAGUUGUCAUAUGCUUGUCUCAAAGAUUAAGCCAUGCAAGUGAAAGUAUGAACCUUUAUACGGUGAAACUGCGGACAGCUCGAGACUCAGUUGUAAUCUAUUUGGCCAUCCCUCUUCGAAGCGGAUAACUUCGGAAAAGCUGAAGCUAAUACGUGCUGCAAACAAGCGAAAGCUUGGCACUUAUUAGAUUAAGCCAUCCUCCCUCGGGAGUCUGGUGAAUCAUAAUAAUUCAGCGGAUCGCAUGCCCUUGAGCGGCGACAGGCCAUUCGAACUUCUGCUCUAUCAAGUACCGUAGGUAGGAUCGGGGCCUACCUAGCUUGUAACGGAUACGGGGUUUUAGGGAACGACUCCGAAGAAUAAGCAUGGGAUUCAGCUUAUAUUUCCAAGGAAAGCAGCAGGCGCGCAAAUUACCCAAUGCCCAACGGGCGAGGUAGUGACAAGAAAUAUCGAUGCGUGGCUUUUUAGUCAUGAUCGAAAUGAGUACAAUCUAAAAACCUUAACAAGGAGCUACUGGAGGGAAAGUCUGGUGCCAGCAGCCGCGGUAAUUCCAGCUCCAGAAGCGUAUACAAAAGUUGCUGCAGUUAAAAAGCUCGUAGCCGGAGUUCGGCGCUGCUUCAGGGUUCCCUAAUGUUAUUAGGGAUUCCCUUAGGGCAGCGCUUAUGCACGCGGAACCACGGGACCAUUUACUUGGCCUCGCGGGAAAACGUGCCGUUUACCAUGAGUAAAUGGGAGUGUUUAAAGCAGGCGUUUGCCUGAACUUUUCAGCAUGGGAUAAUAGAAUAAGACUGCGUCUUAUUUCGUUGGUUUGCAAGACAGCAGUAAUGAUUAAUAGGGGCGUUCGGGGGCAUCGGUAUUUCUUGGGAAGCGGUGAAAUGCGUAGAUCCAAGAAGGACCACCGGAAGCGAAAGCGUUUGUCAAGGGCGUUCCCAUUGGUCAAGAACGAAAGCUGGAGGAUGGAAGGAGAUUAGACACCUCUGUACUUCCAGCCGUAAACGAUUCGGACUCGGGAUCGGUGAGCGAGUUCUUUUCCCCAUCGGUAUCGUAAGAGAAAUCAAAGUCUUUGCGUUCUGGGGGGAGUAUGGUCGCAAGGCUGAAACUUAAAGGAAUUGACGGAAGAACACACAAGAAGUGGAUACUGCGGUUCAAUUUGACUCAACACGGGGAACCUCACGCGUCCAAGACACAGGUAGGAUUGACAGAUUGAAAGCUCUUUCUUGAUUCUGUGGCGAGUGGUGCAUGGCCAAUCUUAGUUCGUGGAGUGAUUUGUCUGCUUGAUUGCGAUAACGAGCGAGACCUCCGCCUGCUAAAUAGCGCAGUGAAUCUUGUAUUCAUUGACGCUUCUUAGAGGGACAACCACUGCAAGGUGGUGGAAGCUGGAGGCAAUAUUAGGUCUGUUAUGCCCUUAGAUGGAUGCGGCCACACGCGUUAUACAUUGAAGGAGUGAAUGAGUAGAACCUGGCUCGGCAGAGUUGGGUAAUCUUGGAAACUUCUUCGUACUGGGGAUUGCUGCUUGAAAUUUUUCAGCAUGAACGAGGAAUUCCUAGUAACUGUACGUCAUCAACGUACGGUGAUUACGUCCCUGUUCUUUGUACACACCGCCCGUCGCUCGAUCCGAUUGGAUGUAAUGUCGAGUUUGACGGACGCGGCGGAGCCUUGAGCUCUGCUGCGGAAGUUGCGCGAGAUUUUGCAUCUAGAGGAACGAGAAGUCGUAACAAGGUAGCCGUAGGAGGACCUGCAGAAGGAUCA
rnacentral:rRNA from 1 species